CUUCCUAAUGUGCUUAAUGAAUUUGGAACUCUCAACAUAUUAUUCCUUUUGGAUGAUUCAUGUGAUGUGUAUGGAGUCAGAUGUGAUGAGCUAGAACAGUGAGUGCUACGAGAAGCAAGAGUCCAAUCUACAGGAAAGGGAGAAGAAACUCAGAAAUUUUCAUUCAAGAACUCAUGUGAAAUGUUACUGGAAGGCACUUUGGCCACAUCAGUAUGACUGGCCUCAGAUAAAUUUCCACCCCCUCCUCCAAUACUUUGUGCAUUAAAAUGUCACUGCCAUUCUUUGUAUUCAACUCCUUCUAUAUAGCAAAAGAUGUGAAUUAUGUUAUUUUCCUGGUAACUUUAGCCCUAUGAUUUCUUUGUAACUUGAUGCUUCUGUGUAUUGUUCUAGGGAACAAAAGUGUUAACAUCACUGACAUCAGUGCUGCAUGACAGCAAGGAGUUCCCCAACCCAGAGAUGUUUGACCCUGGCCACUUUCUAGAUGAGAAUGGAAACUUUAAGAAAAGUGACUACUUUUUGCCUUUCUCAGCAGGAAAACGAGCUUGUGUUGGAGAGGGCCUGGCCCGCAUGCAGUUGUUUCUAUUCUUGACAACCAUUUUACAGAACUUUAACCUGAAAUCUCUGGUUCACCCAAAGGACAUUGAUACGAUGCCAGUUCUGAAUGGUUUUGCCUCUCUGCCACCCACUUACCAGCUCUGCUUCAUUCCUUCCUGAAUAGAUCAGGCAUUUUGGCUUCUACUGUGUUGCCUUCUGCAAUCCCCUUCAGGUUUUUAUCCAGUCCCUUCCCUCUAUCAUCCAUCCUGACUCUUGUCUUAAGAUCCAGAAAGCACAUGCAGUUUCUGGAGUUAUAGCACAAAUCCACUUGUAUUAUCUCUUUCAUAUAACAAUUUAUGAUCCCUUGUGUCAUUGUGUAUCCAUUCCUGAGUUA
rnacentral:lncRNA from 1 species